AAUGGGCGCAAGCCUGAUCCAGCCAUGCCGCGUGAGUGAAGAAGGCCUUCGGGUUGUAAAGCUCUUUCGGCCGGGAAGAAAUCGUGUUCUCUAACAUAGGACAUGGAUGACGGUACCGGACUAAGAAGCACCGGCUAACUACGUGCCAGCAGCCGCGGUAAUACGUAGGGUGCGAGCGUUAAUCGGAAUUACUGGGCGUAAAGCGUGCGCAGGCGGUUUUGUAAGACAGAUGUGAAAUCCCCGGGCUUAACCUGGGAACUGCGUUUGUGACUGCAAGGCUAGAGUACGGCAGAGGGGGGUGGAAUUCCUGGUGUAGCAGUGAAAUGCGUAGAUAUCAGGAGGAACACCGAUGGCGAAGGCAGCCCCCUGGGCCUGUACUGACGCUCAUGCACGAAAGCGUGGGGAGCAAA
rnacentral:rRNA from 1 species